rnacentral:lncRNA from 1 species
CUAGUCCGGGCCUUGGGGGAGUCCCCGGAGUCCCCGUGGCUUUCCAGCUCCAGGCUCGGGAGAGGGUGACCUUGGAGCCGGGAUUUCACUUCUACAGCGCUGUGGUGCCGGGGGGACAGGGAGAAGGGCUCCCUGGCCCCCAGUUCACGAGGAGAAGGGGCCUUGACCGGUCAGGACCACCACCCUACGACGCCGCUCAGCUCUGGGCGAUUCUCUCCUCCCUUGCUGAAGCAGGCAUUGAGAGCCUGCGUUCCUCCCGCUCUGUUUCCGUUUAGGUAAAAUGGAUAGAAUAAUAGUACUUACCUCAAAGGAUUGUUGAAGAGAAUCAACAAGAUGAUAUCCCUGAAGCACUGGGAAUAGUGUCUGGCACACAGCACUCUCCCAGGAGCACACCGCGGCGCUAGAGAAGACCAGGAAAAAGGACCUGAGCCAGCUUGCCGUCUUAACAAAAAUUUCAAACUUUGCAAAGCGGUAUACCUUCUUAUUCUCCAGUUCAGUAUUGCCAGUGAAGUCAUACUGAACGCAGACAAGGAAAAGAAAGAAAAAGAAACUCAAUGAGAUAUGUUGUCAUCUUCCCUGUUUUAUGGAUGAAGUUCUAAGUAGAGGUUCGGAGAAGGAGCCCAACUGUUGUAUUUAGACUAAGAUGCUCAAAUAUUCUGCUAAAUGAAGCCACAGCUGCUCUGUCAGAAACAUCACGUUAAAAUGUGAAACGAUUUGGCAAUGUUCUGAGGACGACUUUCAUUUCAUGAGCUACAAAACCACUCUGGAUGUCAUGAGGACUUUGAGAAGCUCUUGCAGUUCUUGAAGAGGGGCCAGGAAAGCAGAGGCCAGCUGCAGCUGAGCAAAGUAGAAUGAUGUUCAGCCUCAGAACGUAGCCACCUUGCUGUGAGAAAGCCCAACCAUCUUGUACAGCGAGACCACAUGGAGAGGCGCAUGUGGAAAGGAACGGAGGCUACAAGCCGAUAGCCAGCAUCGACUGCCAGGCACGGAGAGUGAGUCUUCAGAUGAAUCCAGCCUCAGCCUAGAGUCUUUUGUCUCAGGCCCCAGACACUGUGGAGCAGGGACAAGCCAUCCCCACUGUGUCCCACCCGCAUUCCUGAUCCACAGAAUCUAUGAGCACAAUAAAUAGUUGCUUUAUGGCAGAG